rnacentral:tRNA from 1 species
GGUUUCUUGGCCGAGUGGCUAGGCAGAGGUCUGCAAAACCUUGUACGGCGGUUCGAAUCCGCCAGAAACCU